GAUGAACGCUGGCGGCGUGCCUAAUACAUGCAAGUCGAGCGAACAGACGAGGAGCUUGCUCCUCUGACGUUAGCGGCGGACGGGUGAGUAACACGUGGAUAACCUACCUAUAAGACUGGGAUAACUUCGGGAAACCGGAGCUAAUCCCGGAUAAUAUAUUGAACCGCAUGGUUCAAUAGUGAAAGACGGUUUUGCUGUAACUUAUAGAUGGAUCCGCGCCGCAUUAGCUAGUUGGUAAGGUAACGGCUUACCAAGGCAACGAUGCGUAGCCGACCUGAGAGGGUGAUCGGCCACACUGGAACUGAGACACGGUCCAGACUCCUACGGGAGGCAGCAGUAGGGAAUCUUCCGCAAUGGGCGAAAGCCUGACGGAGCAACGCCGCGUGAGUGAUGAAGGUCUUCGGAUCGUAAAACUCUGUUAUUAGGGAAGAACAAAUGUGUAAGUAACUAUGCACGUCUUGACGGUACCUAAUCAGAAAGCCACGGCUAACUACGUG
rnacentral:rRNA from 1 species